ACACCCCAAAACCUAGAACGGCGGAAACGUUCUGGGGCGGAGGAUGUCAUGUAGAGUAUCGCAACACAGUAAAAGUAAACAAGCAAACAACAUCAUCCAUUGCAUUAAAUAUAUAAUUUUAAUCCGAACGUGUUAUGUACAGUUAUAGACACCAAAAAUAUAAUGUAAACAAAAAUAAUAAGAUGAGUCUUGGAUGCACUCCAUCUUCUCAAAAGCUGGCCUCGGUACCUGUCUACUGAUGACCUGAGAAUACAAGUUAUUUUGAAAGAGUUUAUCAGCAUAAAGCUGGCGAGUUCAUAAGUAUUUUAGUGUCGGUGUUUGUUAUCAAAAUGUUUGAACAUGACUCAAGGGUAAGUUUGUAAAAUGUAUGUAAAGGUUUGUAAGUGUUUGUAAACGUUUGAAUCUCUCAGAAAAACCUAUAUUUUCUAAUAAAGUAGCCUUCUACCAAGGCUUAACUGUUUUGUAUGUUCGUUUGUUGUAAAAGUGUGUAAUUUCCCAAGUGUAACUAUCAUUAACAAAAUAUAGUUUGUACAUUAAUGUCUAAGUGAAAUAAUCACUAAAUAUAUGUAAUGGGUAUAUUAUUGUAGUACUGUAGUGUUGUAUUAUAGGAACUACUGUUGUACUAACUACCUUAAAUCGGUUUUAUAUUAAGGUAUCAUGUGAUUAAUUGUACGAUACUAUCGACUGGAUAAACAACGACAAAUGUAGGUCGUAAAAAGAAAUGACAUUUGGCACCCGCAGACCUACAGGUCCGGCAGUAGCUAGCAGCAAGGUGUAGGAUAGUCAAUCCAGUAUAGAUCUAUACGCAAACUCAAGCUCUCCCUCCAAGAGAAUUCUGGCUACAACUCGGGCCAUGACAUUUAAGGCAUGCUCCGAUACAGUGGAUCACAAUUGUUAACGUAUUCGUGUAUAUGUAAUGUAAUGUUACUUGUUCUAGUAUCGUUGUAUAUGUUCUCUUCCUAGUAUAGUUGUAUAUGUUCUCUUUCUAGUAUAGUUGUAUAUGUUCUCUUUCUAGUAUAGUUGUAUAUGUACACAUAGUAAUGUAAUGUAUAUGUUUUCAUAGUAAUAAGUAUUAACUCAUGAAUGAACUGACUCAUUGAUCUAGAAAUUGUAGUAGUAUGAUCCUGUGUUACCCCGAUGGUAACUUACUAAUGAUGUAACUAAUACGCAUGAAUACGGGAGUACUUUUAUUUGUAUAUAUGCAUAUAUGAUAUAUAAUUAAUAUUGAAACGACCCUCAGACGGCUACCCGACAUCCCACCAGACCACAUCCAAAUCGAGGAAAAGGAAAUAGGGCGGAUGGCCUUCCUAAGCCCUUUAAACAUUUCUUAUAUAUCUAUACAUAUAUGGGCAUGCAAUUUAUAAGAAGUAUAACAAAGUUUAAAUAAAAGUAUUUAGUAAGAAAAGAGUUUGUAAAACAUUUUGAAGUGAAGCAGUUUGAUAAACAGUUGGAACAGUGAUAAAAUCAUUGGUUUUAUAGUUAUUAAUCACAUGUGAUUGAUGUAAUAACUAUAAGUAUUUAACUUGUAUUCCANCCCCCCUAAAAGAAUUUAAAACAUUUAAAAGUAUUUCAAAGGUUAAUUAAAGGGGUAUGAACUCACCUGUAGUGAGUGGUUCUGAUGACAAUGUUGGAUUAGAUGUUAGGUGUCAAGUGGUGACUUGAGUAUACACGCGAAUCCUAUUUAGCAUAUAUGGUACAUAUAUGAAUAUACUUAGUAUUAUGAUCGACUAAUUAAUGUAUUGGGACCACCUUAGGGACUAGUAAACACUUAUAAUGAAGUGUUACAACCAUAUAUGAUUGUAUGAUAGAGUAUAAGGCUUUACAAGGGAGUGUAUGGUCAAAAUACACACCAUAUGAGUGUGUACGGCCAGGUGUGCGGCCUAGUGUGCUACCAGCACAUGUGUGCGGCCAUGUAUGCGGCCAAGUGUGCUGCCAGAUGGUGUGUGCUGCCAGAAACAUGGUGUUCUUGGUGUUCUUGGUACCUUUUAUGAAGAUCUUCAAGGAGAAUGGAUGAUACUUCAGAGGAUUUCGUGUUCUAUGCUUGAAGAAAUAAAGGAAGUGUUCAAAAAUUAUUCAAGUGUGGUAUAUAUAUAUGGAGUGUGCAGUUGGGAAGGGUGUGAGGCCGCAAACAUGAGUGUGUGGCCGCACACUCCAUGUGUUGGAGUGAUUGGCCCGGUUUUGAUUCCUACACUUCGAUUUAACCCUUUUUAACACUCCUACCUUUAUUAUAUCACACUUAGAAUGCUUCAUUAGACUCUAAAUGGUACUACUAUAUAGUAAAAUGUGUCUAAUAUUGAUAAGAAUUGAAGGAUGUACGCGAGGAAUUUUUCGGGUUAUCACAUCAUCCCCCUGUUAAGGGAAUUUCGUCUCGAAAUUCGAAUUUAAGCUACUCGGUUAUUACAAAUAACUAAGUAAAAAGAUGAGGAUAUUUCACUUUCAUUUGAUCUUCUCGCUCCCAUGUAAAUUCUGGCCCUCGCUUGGCGUUCCAGUGAACCUUCACAAUCGGGAUGCGGCUUUGUAUCGUCCGUUUGACUUCACGGUCCAUGACUUCUACGGGUUCUUCCACGAAGUUGAGGCUCUCGUUGAUCUCGAUCUUGUCGAGUGGGAUUACAAGAGUCUCGUCAGAUAGACACUUUUUCAAAUUGGAAACGUGGAAGGUAGAAUGUGCGUUACGAAGUUCGUUUGGUAGAUUGAGUUUGUAGGCCACUGUGCCGAUUCUUGCGAAAAUCUCAAAAGGCCCAAUGUAUCUUGGAUUUAGCUUUCCACGUUUUCCGAAGCAUAUCAAGCCCUUCCAGGGUGAGACCUUCAAUAAAACAUGGUUGCCCACCUGGAAUUCCAACGGUUUUCUACGUUUAUCGGUGUAGCUUUUUUGUUGGUCUUUGGACGCUUUCAAUGGUUCACGGAUCUGAACGAUCUUCUCUGUCGUUUCCCGAAUGAUUUCCGGACAUGUGAGAGUACUGUCAGAAGUUUGCCCCUUAGCUAACUGGGUGUCACCCACUUCAGCCCAACAUAGAGGGGAUCUGCACUUCCGGCCAUAGAGGGCUUCAAAUGGGGCAGCCUUGAUGCUCGUGUGAUAACUGUUAUUGUAGGAAAAUUCGACAAGAGGUAAGUGAGUAUCCCAUGCCUUUUCGAAGUCUAUCACACAGGCUCUCAGCAUAUCUUCCAAUGUUUGGAUGGUCCUCUCACUUUGCCUGUCGGCCUGAGGGUGGUAGGCUAUGCUCAUGUCUAGCCUUGUUCCCAGGGGAUGUUGCAACGAUUGCCAGAAUCUUUAGGUGAACCUACUACCUCUAUCGGAGAUAAUGGAUAUAGGAACACCAUGCAGUCGUACGAUUUCCCUAAUGUAUGUUCUAGUAAGUUUCUCCAUCUUAUCAGUUUCCUUGAUAGGUAGGAAGUGUGCAGACUUGCUCAAUCUAUCGACGAUGACCCAUAUGGUAUCAAGUCGACCCGUUGUCUUGGGCAACUUGGUUAUGAAAUCCAUAGUAAACCAGAGGGUUUCUGGUACUCAACCUUGACCUUUGCGCAAGUAAGGCAUUUACUUACGAAGGUAGCAGUCUCUGCUUUCAUAUUAGGCCACCGGUAUAGCUUUUUAAGAUCCAGAUACAUCUUAUCUGAACCUGGGUGGACGGAAUACCGAGUGUUGUGUGCCUCGGUCAUGACCAAGUCUCGGAAACCACCGUGUUUCAGGGUCCAGAUCCGGUCCAUGAAAUAUAGGGCUCUGUCACCCUUGGCUUCUAAGUCUUAUCCAUUCCUCUGAGGGAUUCACUCGCCACAUGUUCAGGUUUCAUAGCUUCAAGUUGAGCUUCCUGAAUUUGCGUAGACAAAUGUGAAUGGAUCAUCAUCGUCAAUGAUUUGACUCUUCGACCAGAAUAUUUUUUCUGACUUAGGGCGUCUGCUACUACAUUGGCUUUACCCGGAUGAUAACGAAUAUUGCAUUCGUAGUCACUGAGUAGGUCGACCCACCGUCGUUGUCUCAUGUUGAGCUCCUUCUGAUCGAAUAUGUGUUGUAAACUCUUGUGGUCGGUAAAAAUAGUGCUUUUCGUUCCGUACAAGUAAUGUCUCCAAAUCUUCAGAGCAAACACCACUGCUCCUAGUUCAAGGUCGUGGGUCGUGUAGUUAACUUCGUGCGUCUUCAACUGUCUGGAGGCGUAGGCGAUGACCUCACCUCGCUGCAUCAAAACACACCCGAGCCCUUGAUUCGAUGCAUCGCAAUAGACUACGAAGUCUUCUAUUCCUUCAUGUAGGGAUAGUAUUGGUGCGGUGCACAAGGCUCGCUUGAGCGUUUGAAAUGCUAUCUCCUGUUUCUCUUCCCAGUCAAAGGCCACGCCCUUCUGGGUCAGUGUUGUAAGAGGUUUCGCAAUCCGGGAGAAGUUCUGUAUGAACUUGCAGUAGUAGCCAGCGAGACCUAAAAAUUGCUGAAUUUCUAUAGGCGUCUUCGGUGCUGACCAGUUCUUAAUGGCCUUAAUUUUGGAUGGGUCCACGUGGAUUCCCUCUUCACUUACCACGUGUCCUAAGAAUUCGACUCUUCAGAUCCAAAAUUCACACUUAGAGAACUUCGCAUAGAGCUUCUCCGCUCGUAAAGUUCCUAGAACUUGUCGUAGAUGAUCGCCAUGCUCUUCCUUAUUUCGGGAGUAGAUCAGGAUGUCAUCAAUGAAUACGAUGACGAACUGAUCCAAGUAAGUUUGGCAUACUCUAUUCAUCAGAUCCAUGAAGACUGCAGGUGCAUUGGUCAAUCCGAAUGGCAUCACUACGAACUCGUAGUGCCCGUAACGAGUUCGUAAGGCUGUCUUCGGAACAUCCUCCUCUAGCACUCGUAACUGGUGAUAUCCGGAUCUCAGAUCAAUUUUGGAAAAGUAGUUUGCCCCUUGCAGUUGGUCAAAUAGAUCGUCUAUGCGAGGCAGAGGGUAACGAUUUUUGACCGUUAGAUUGUUGAGUUCUUUGUAGUCGAUACACAUACGGAAUGAUCCGUCUUUCUUCUUAACGAACAAGACCGGUGCUCCCCAAGAUGAGAAACUUGUUCUUAUAAAGCCCUUGCUGAGCAGCUCGUUAAGUUGACCAGAUAAUUCCUGCAUCUCUGCUGGUGCUAAUCGGUAGGGCGACUUGGCUACUGGGUAGCUCCUGGGACUAAGUCGAUUCUGAACUCGACUUGUCGUUGCGGAGGUAAUCCUGGUAGCUCUUCAGGGAAAACAUCGGGGAAGUCGCUCACUACUGGAAUGCUCUUUAGUUCCCUCGUUUCGAGGCUCGUAUCGACGACAUGAGCAAGGAAUGCAUGGUAUUCUUUACGUAGAUACUUCUGUGCUUGAAUACUUGAUAUAAUAUGGAGACUCACACCGGUUUUGUCACCGUAGACGAUAAGAGUUUCGCUAGACGGUAGGUUUAGACGGACUGCUUUCUCGUAGCACAUGAUGUCGGCGGAAUGAAGACUCAACCAAUCCAUGCCGAUGAUAACGUCGAAGCUUUUAAUUGAAACCGGCAUGAGGUCGAUUGGAAAUGAAUGGUUAUCUAGAGUUAAGGUACAACCUAAGUAUAUGCUAUUCAUACUUUCAGUUUUUCCAUUUGCCAUUUCUACUGUGAAUUGUUCCUUAAGUGUGUGUGGUUGUUGCUUAAGCAUGCGAGCAAAUUGAUGGUUCACGAAGCUUCGCUCCGCUCCGCUCCACUAUCGAAUAGAAUGCAUGCAUAGGAGUUAUCUAGGAGGAACGUACCAUUCACCACUAUCGGGUCAGCAACUGCUUCCCCAUGGCCUAUUGCUAGUACCCUCCCUGCUCCUCCAGCAUUCUUCGCUUUGGGGAAGUCCCUCUUAUAGUGGCCUGCUUCGCCACAUCCAUAGCAGGCCGGGCUCGCUCCAGAGCCGGAGACUUGGGUGAUCGACCUCGCCAGGGAUUUACAGAAAUGGACGGUGUGUCCUUUCCUGUUGCAGUUAGAGCACUGCAUUUCACGGAAGGGGCCGUUGUGGUGGAAGUUGCAUUUGCUGCACUUAGGCAAACUUCCAGCAUACUGCCUCACCGGAGUAGUAUCAGCAGCAGGGGUUAUCGCGGCAUGCAUAGCCACAACUUGUUGCUUUUUAGCAACUCGCUGUUUCUUCUCGUCUUCCCAGAACUUCCUCUUAGUGUCAGCGGGUUUGGAGGGUUCCGGGAUGGCUAGGGCGGUUGUUGUUGCAGGGGUUUUGACUCCAUGGUCAAUGAGUCGCUGUGCCAGUCGCUUGGCACUGUCGAAGGUAGCGGGGUUUGAUGAUAGGACAUUCCCCUGAUACGGAGACACUAGCCCCCAUAUGUACCUUUCGAUCUUUUUCCCUUUAGUGGGAACCAUAUUGGGGCAGAGGGCCACCAGUUCGCUGAAUCUGGCGGUAUAACCGACCACGUUGGUGCCCUUCAUGGUCAGGCUCCAAAGCUCCUGUUCUAAUUUCUGGACUUCGCCCCUCGGGCAGUAUUCCUCAAUCAUGAGGUGCUUCAUGGUUUCCCAGCCCAUAUCAUUCGCUACUACGAGAGUCAGCGCUUUAACGUGGCCGUUCCACCACGUUAGGGCCUUUCCUUCAAAGGUGCAUGCGGCAUAUUUGACUUUCCUCGCUGCAGGGCAUGAACAGAUUUCGAAGACUGAUUCAGUCUUCUCGAACCAUUGCGGGAGGGCAAUGACUCCGCCGGUGCCAUGGAAAGUCUUCAAUUUGCAGUUGGUGAAAUCCUUGUAGGAGCAUUCUCUCGUGCGCACAUGGAUCUCAGCAUGAGUAGAUUCAACAGGGGUUCCACCUUGGCUGUUGUUAGUUGAGUGAUAUUGAGCCAUGGCAGUUGCCACUGCCGCAGCUACUGCAGCAUUCAGAGCCGCAGUAUCGAUGACCGGAGGAGGAGGUGGUGGAGGUGCAGGGUUACGUCUUUUUGACUUACGAGGAGGCAUCUUUCAGCUAUAAGUUUAUAAAGACAGAUACAAUGGUAAGAAUCAAUUGUAAGCAAGUUGAGAGUGACACAUGGACUAAAUAGCCAUAGUCAAAUAGUUGAAUGAGUGUACGAAUUGAGGUUACAAUAGGGAACAAUAGUAGGAAAACACAAGUGUAAGGAUUUUCUCACAGAUUAGAUAGUUGUCAAUAUUACUGCUAUUAUUGAUGUUAUGUGUUUAGGGAAAAAUUGACCUAACAGUAGGUCCUACAUCAUACCAUACGGAAAAGUUUGACAGUUACUAGAUUCCUUAGUUAGAGUACUGAAAGUUAGGAAUAUUUUACAGACAAGCAAUACUAAAAGCCCAGCCACUAAAGGCUAUUCCUUAAACAAAAGAUGAAGACGUACUAGACAUCUUCUAACGACGACAAGAAUUCCUAGGGCGAAUCCUCAUAUAUGCCAGUUGACGAACCACUUCUCGGAGGUGUCGUUCUUGAGCUCUUUAGCGAACUCGAAGUUCUGCGACUUCAGUGGUCAAUUGCUGCCGCAGUGCGUCAUUGGCUCUCCUCGUCCCUUCGAGUGCUUCUUCCAGCUAUCGAAUGCGGACGGUGUUAAUGCUUGAGUUGGCAUCAAUCUCCAUGACCCGGUCGAUCGCUGCUCGACCUUGCUCAACAUUGCGAGCUAUUCUGCGGACUAUGACGGGCAGAGCUCUAUCCGCAGAACCGCAUUCGCUAACGUUGUAAAAGCUUCGGUCCCCAAAGUAAGGUAAGGGUUGACCCUGUUCGUCACUCCAGCGACUGAAGUUGUUUACCCACAAGGGAGUGGGACCUGGAAAAGCUGGUCGGGGAUUGUUGUUCGGGGCUUGACCUACUAGCGGUAGGUUGUUGACUUCAGGCUCGGAGUCAGAUCCAUCAAAAAAGCCUUCUGCGAGGUGAUCAUCCAAAGGGAUUGGAUGUUCAUCUUCGGGCUCUUCUUCGAUCCACCCGACAUUGUCUUCAUUUGGAAAGUAAGGGUCGCCGUGAUGGAAUCCAACCAUUUAAAUCUACGCGAGAAGAGAGGUAUAAGAAUAUAUUAUAUAUGUAGCUAGUAGUACAAAAUACACCUAUAGUAUUUUAAGUUUAGGUUCUACUAAUCCUCUUGUGGUAUUGUUGGUAAGUUUUUAGACUUGUUAACAUAUCACAACCAUUCUAGGGCAUAUGCUAAUCACUCCUCGGACCAGCAUAGUUGAUCAGGCUAUGCCAUUCCCAAGACUGACCACACAUCCCCGAGCUUACCUGUGAUACUUAACAAUCGUAAUACUUUUGUUCUUGUCAUUGUGACACUGAUUUUAGUAUGAAUGCAGCCUAGUAUACAUAAUUAAAUAUUUUAGUAUUCAAUGUAUAUACUCUUGGUUAGAGUGUUUUAAUCCCAAAUGGGUUUAUAGUUAGUAUAUAUUUUAUGGGUUGAUAUACUUAAUUCACUAUAAACAAUGCUCUGAUACCAAUCUGUCACACCCCAAAACCUAGAACGGCCAAAAUGUUCUGGGGCGGAGGACGUCAUGUAGAGUAUCACAACACAGUAAAAGUAAACAAGCAAACAACAUCAUCCAUUGCAUUAAAUAUAUAAUUUUAAUACAAGCGUGUUCUGUACAGUUAUAGACACCAAAAAUAUAAUGUAAAUCAAAAUAAUAAGAUGAGUCUAGGAUGCGCUCCAUCUUCUCAAAAGCUGGCCUCGGUACCUGUCUACUGAUGACCUGACAAUACAAGUUAUUUUGAAAGAGUUUAUCAGCAUAAAGCUGGCGAGUUCAUAAGUAUUUUAGUGCCGGUGUUUGUUAUCAAAACGUUUGAACAUGAAUCAAGGGUAAGUUUGUAAAAUGUAUGUAAAUGUUUGUAAUUGUUUGUAAACGUUUGAAUCUCUCAUAAAAACCUAUAUUUUCUAAUAAUGUAGCCUUCUACCAAGGCUUAACUGUUUUGUAUGUUCGUUUGUUGUAAAAGUGUGUAAUUUCCCAAGUGUAACUAUCCAUUAACAAAAUAUAGUUUGUACAUUAAUGUUUAAGUGAAAUAAUCACUAAAUAUAUGUAAUGGGUAAAUUAUUGUAGUACUGUAGUGUUGUAUUAUAGGAACUACUGCUGUACUAACUACCUUAAACUGGAUUUAUAUUAAGGUAUCAUGUGAUUAAUUGUACCAUAUUAUCGACUGGAUAAACAACGAAAAAUGUCGGUCGUAAAAAGAAAUGAUGUUUGGCACCCGCAGACCUGCAGGUCCGGCUGUAGCUAGCAGCAAGGUGUAGGAUAGUCAAUCCGAUAUAGAUCUAUACGCAAACUCACGCUCUCCCUC
rnacentral:lncRNA from 1 species